rnacentral:rRNA from 1 species
UACGGGAGUGGCAAGCGUUAUCCGGAAUUAUUGGGCGUAAAGCGUCCGCAGGCGGUCUUGUAAGUCUGUUGUUAAAGCGUGGAGCUUAACUCCAUUUCAGCAAUGGGAACUGUAAGACUAGAGUGUGGUAGGGGCAGAGGGAAUUCCCGGUGUAGCGGUGAAAUGCGUAGAUAUCGGGAAGAACACCAGUGGCGAAGGCGCUCUGCUGGGCCAUAACUGACGCUCAUGGACGAAAGCCAGGGGAGCGAAAGGGAUUAGAUACCCCUGUAGUCCUGGCCGUAAACGAUGAACACUAGGUGUCGGGGGAAUCGACCCCCUCGGUGUCGUAGCCAACGCGUUAAGUGUUCCGCCUGGGGAGUACGCACGCAAGUGUGAAACUCAAAGGAAUUGACGGGGGCCCGCACAAGCGGUGGAGUAUGUGGUUUAAUUCGAUGCAACGCGAAGAACCUUACCAGGGUUUGACAUCCUGCGAAUCUUUUGGAAACGAGAGAGUGCCUUCGGGAACGCAGUGACAGGUGGUGCAUGGCUGUCGUCAGCUCGUGUCGUGAGAUGUUGGGUUAAGUCCCGCAACGAGCGCAACCCACGUCGUUAGUUGCCAGCAUUUAGUUGGGCACUCUAGCGAGACCGCCGGUGAUAAACCGGAGGAAGGUGUGGAUGACGUCAAGUCAUCAUGCCCCUUACAUCCUGGGCUACACACGUACUACAAUGCUACGGACAAAGGGCAGCAAACUCGCGAGAGCUAGCAAAUCCCAUAAACCGUGGCUCAGUUCAGAUCGUAGGCUGCAACUCGCCUACGUGAAGGAGGAAUCGCUAGUAAUCGCAGGUCAGCAUACUGCGGUGAAUACGUUCCCGGGCCU